rnacentral:tRNA from 1 species
GAGGUUGUAGCUCAGCUUGGUUAGAGCGUCAGAUUGUGGCUCUGAAGGCCGGGGGUUCGAGUCCCCUCAAUCUCC